rnacentral:lncRNA from 1 species
AUUUUCAUUGUAUAUUUGAUAUAUUUUUAAUUUUGUAGCGUGUGGCUGGACCAGGCCCUAUCGUGCCAGCCUGUGGCAGGGUGGCUGAGCUGGGGCCGUCUGCUUGAUCCUGUGGGCUUGGUAGUGCUUAGAGCUGCUGCUGCAGGCUGGGCCCAUCCCGUCGUGUCUCUGCCAUUAGACGUAGGGAGAAGUCUGCACAUUUAUUUUCCAGCCAGACUUCUGGCUGUACCCACUGGCGUCACAAGCUCUUCAUCCCCUGGGAGAGUGCUGGGUUUCUGACGAUGCUCAGGCCCCCAGAGGGCCUCAUCUCAGAGUGCCUCUGUCCUGCAUUUGCCCUUGAGACAUCCCUGACUGCUUAGAGAAGGCUGCCCCUCCUCUGUGCUUCUGACACACACACCUCUCUGCUCACUCUCA